rnacentral:lncRNA from 1 species
AGAGGUUACUGUGAGUUUGACAGUUAAGGAAAAUUACACGGAAAAGUUGGGAUUUAGGCAAAACCAUGAUAUAUAGAUAAUAUUCCAGACAAGCUGGGGGAGAUAUUUCAGUGAUGGGGAACGGUGUGAGCAAAACUGCAGAGAAGGAAAAGAAUAUGGAACAGUUAUGGGAAAGGAGUUAGAGAUGUUUGGCUAAUGAAAGACUCCAGUGCCUACACACUUGAAACACAAGAGUCCAAAUUCCUAGUGAGGUCACAAUUCAGAUAAUAAAAACAUUCUGAGGAUUUGUUUUUCUCCUACCAAAAAAGAAAGCCAAAGUUUGAUUCAAGGUGUCACAAACUGAGAUAUCAGCAGUAAAGGACCAAUGCAAAAUAGGCAAGCUAACAGCUAAGCAGCAUGCUCCACCAUAGAUCUUAAGGAGAUGAAUAAGCAGAUGCACACACUCACAACCUAAAAACAAGACAGAAGCACUGAUACUGAGCAGCUCACCAUCAGUCCAUUUAUUUCCAUUUCAUUCUGUUCAGAGCCAGUUAAAAAUGAGCAUGAUCUAGAAGGCU